rnacentral:rRNA from 1 species
CUUGCUUCUCUUGAGAGCGGCGGACGGGUGAGUAAUGCCUAGGAAUCUGCCUGGUAGUGGGGGAUAACGUCCGGAAACGGACGCUAAUACCGCAUACGUCCUACGGGAGAAAGCAGGGGACCUUCGGGCCUUGCGCUAUCAGAUGAGCCUAGGUCGGAUUAGCUAGUUGGUGGGGUAAUGGCUCACCAAGGCGACGAUCCGUAACUGGUCUGAGAGGAUGAUCAGUCACACUGGAACUGAGACACGGUCCAGACUCCUACGGGAGGCAGCAGUGGGGAAUAUUGGACAAUGGGCGAAAGCCUGAUCCAGCCAUGCCGCGUGUGUGAAGAAGGUCUUCGGAUUGUAAAGCACUUUAAGUUGGGAGGAAGGGCAGUAAAUUAAUACUUUGCUGUUUUGACGUUACCGACAGAAUAAGCACCGGCUAACUCUGUGCCAGCAGCCGCGGUAAUACAGAGGGUGCAAGCGUUAAUCGGAAUUACUGGGCGUAAAGCGCGCGUAGGUGGUUCGUUAAGUUGGAUGUGAAAUCCCCGGGCUCAACCUGGGAACUGCAUUCAAAACUGACGAGCUAGAGUAUGGUAGAGGGUGGUGGAAUUUCCUGUGUAGCGGUGAAAUGCGUAGAUAUAGGAAGGAACACCAGUGGCGAAAGCGACCACCUGGACUGAUACUGACACUGAGGUGCGAAAGCGUGGGG